CUGCUCUCCAGUCAUCAACAUCGCUCCUUGGUGGUCCACAUUUUCUGGAAUACUCUUUACUGCAAAAGCUAGGCUUGCUGUACAGGUCUGAAGAUGUGCCUUUCCCAGCUGAUAAACAGGGAUCCUCAGGGAAAGCAGAGAGUUGGAGUUGAGAGAAGCAGAGGGAGGAUUAGUCCCAGAGGAUGCCACGAUCAGCUGAGUUCUCAGUUUGAAGUUCUGGAACUGGAGGGCUGUAUUCCCUGGUGGACUAGAAAUAACUGCAGCAGCUGGAAACAAAGAGGAGAAGCUGGAACCACAAGACCAUCAGAUCUGCAUCGCCUGUGUUUAACAUCUGUGAGCUCAGAAAUGGAGGGAAGAAAGAGAUUCUCAGAUUCUCACAGCUAAAAAUCUGCCGCAAGACAAAUGAGGGGCUGCGGUAGGACUGCUUGGAUGAAGUUGCCCUUUUCUGCGUACAACUGCAUCCUACCUGCCUGUGCAGAGGUAUCCCCAUGGCACCAGAUAAAUAAAAAACUUCUCGCCUGCCUCGCCAUUCCCCGCAGCCAGCCGGUGAGCCAGGGCCAGCGGAGUAUUAUUAAAACUGCUCCAUCACUGGCUGUAAUGGGAGCGUCUGUAUUUUCUCCCUCGCCCGUAUCCCUGACAUGACAUAAUGCCUGCCCUCACCAAGACGCUAUAACACCGAGGUGUCCCACUCGUCUGCUGAAUAACCUCAGUAACUUCUGGCCUCGCCAGCUCUGCCAGUGCCCCCUCUUGCCUUGCAGCCCCCCCCGGCUCCUCCAGCCCGGGGGUCCUCACACCAGCCCCUCACUACCGUCCUGUGCAGUGUUGAUCUGCUGGCUCUUGGUUAGAUGGAGGUAUUGGGCUGGAGAA